AAACCACCUGGGAGAUAACCCUCUAGGCUUGCCCCUGGGGGGUGACCUAGACCAGGUUAACUGAGGCCUUUCUUAAGUGAAACCUACACAGCCCUCCCUGCCCAAUCACCCUCAGCACCAAGGAGUGGCGGUUUUGAAGACCUGCAUCUUCUCAAGCAGCUCAAACACACUCGGAUUUCCUGAACUCCCAGCAUGCCAUGGUCCCCUCUGCAUCCAGCACCGUGUCCAUUCACCACAGACUGAGACUUCUUUGAUAUUUUUAGUGUAAAUCAUGAGAUGUUUAACUUAAAUAUAUGUUCUUUCAAAGGAAAGCAUGUAUCACCAUGGCAAAUGGAAAAGCAGUACAAUGGGCUACAAAUAUAAGGUGACUAUAAAAAUAAACACAGCCAAAU
rnacentral:lncRNA from 1 species